rnacentral:piRNA from 1 species
UAGCUCAUUAAUUAACUACACGGCCCCU